ACUCCCACCGAGGGAAGUUGACUCAUCACUCUCUCCAGAUGCGUGCAGAAUCCAUGGUCAUCUGUACACCGGUAAAGCAGCAGGAAUUCUCCCAGAACUGUGGGCAAGGCAAGCCCACUUCCUCAAGGACAUGCACAUUGGGUGGCACUUGUCAACCAUGAUUCGUACAACUUUUCUCACAGAAUAGAUCUUUCUCACAGAAUAGAGCUAUAGAUCACAGCAGAUGGUGCAAUAGUUUACAGCAAUUGUGCCAACAAACCUACAAAUGUACAAGAUUUCAGCAGACAUCCAUCAAUUCUCUCUGAAGAAUCUUUUCAACAAUGGGUAUGUUACAUAAAAACUGGAAAUUUUACAGUAGAAAUUUGUUGUCAUUUCAGACUUGGAUCCUACAAGCUCAUCUAUUCAGUCCUCUUUGAUGAUAGCCACACAGACAACAAGCAAUUAUCUCUUUUAGAAAAUAAUACUUA
rnacentral:lncRNA from 1 species